AAGACAGGAUGAGAACAAUGCUGCCGAGAAGCUUAGCAGGUUCCUAAGAAGUACUGCCACCUGAUGGACACUCCAGUCCACUGCCUGGAAGCCCAACUGUCUCUAGCAACAGCUGUUUGUUCAAUGCCAACAGACCAAGCUGCACGGCAGGUGUGCUGCAGAGAUCCUGUGGUUCUGUGUUGAGGUAUGCUUAGGGGCAGGGAGCUGGAAAGGCCCCAAGGGGCCUUGCACCCUGAAAGAAGAAUGUCUGCACUGGUUCUUCAGGAAGGCUCAGGGUGUUGAAGACCACUGCACUUUGUAUGAACUGCCCUUCAGCUAGGGCUCCAUUUGCACGAUGCAGAACUGGGUCAUCCGCUCAAGGUUAGUGAUUCUCUCCAGUUGGUUUGGAGGUCUAGAGUUGGGGAGUGGGCUGGGAAAGACUCACAGAUACCUUUGUAACAGAGAAAGAAAGAGUUUGAGAGGGAAGGUGUGAGAAGAGAUGAACUUGACAGAGCACAUCUUGAACCAAGAUUGCAAAAACCCCGGCCACUAGCUAGCUCCUCCAAGUGAUGCAGCCUGGAGGUGGAGGACAACCUAAUACUCGGUCAGUUGAGCACACCUGAAUACUGACAGGAGACCCCAGCAUGCCCUACAUCCCUAGCACAAGGAAAGAAUCAGGUAGUGUUCUUAAGAAAAGAAAAUCUGUGGCAUUGUACAGGAAUACAUUCUUUAGAAGCAAGAGGUAUUGUCACAACUUAUCUGUUCUUCUAGUUGGAAGACCAACAGGGAGCCAACUGGGACAGGAAAUCUUCCAGUCACUAAGAAUACUCUGGGUCCUGGCAUGGCUUUGCUGCAUGGGUGGCCAUCCCAGGUGUCUCUGGGGAAGUAGCUGACUAAAGCUAAGAUGUCACCUUGCUAGCAUAAGCAGGUUCUGUCCAUCUUCAGGGAGGAGUGAAAACCGGGCUUAACUCAGAUGUGAAAGCUAUACAGUGAAGUUUACCAGUGAAAGAACACACCACACACAGGGCAUGGCAUGAAGACCUCCAAUAGGCACAGAGAUGGUCUUCAGUUGUCUCAUGAGCUACACAUCAGCAUGACCUGGAAAAAUGAUGGUGGCGGGGCAGCUGUAGCUUGAGCUCCUUCCAGCAUCAACUUGAGAUUCAUCAUGGAAGAACACAAUUUAAUUACAAGCAAGGUUAGCAGCCAGGAACUCAAAUUUCAUCUGUGACAGGCUGUCUGCAUUUCCUUUGGCAAAACAGAUGGCUCUGUCCCUCGGUGCCCCGUAAGAAACCCCCUUCAAGAGUUUGAAUUGACCAACAGAAUUAAAUCCCACCACAAGCCAGCCCGUGCAGUCCAACAGUGGGUGGAACGGACAAAAGGUUUGCAGAAUCCCACCUGGCGCCGAGCCAGUUUUACUCUGGAUCCCCACAAGAGGGAACAGCACCCUGGGUGGCACCAUGGGCCACAGUGGAUGAGACAUGAAACAUAGAGGGACAUCUUGUCAUUGGUCGGCUGUGUCCUUUGCAAACUGCCCUGCCCACUCCCUGACUGCUUCCCUCCACCAAAACUACCCAGUGCCCCCUCCCCAUAAUACACAUGUUUUGAUAAAUAAAUAAAUAAAUAAAUAAAUGCAUCCUCAGAUGGUUAAACAUCUCCCUCAAAUGGGUCAGCUUCUGAGACAAACAUCUUCACUCUUGGCUGGAAGACCCUUCUGUGUGGGGUCGGGAUGAAAACACGGCUUUGAGAUUCCUGAGGCCUGGUUUGUAAGCUUUGUGUCUGGUGAGCAUAUGAAAUCUUGGCCUGCGUGCAGAUGAGCCCCUGAAACUGCCCAGUGUUGGAGGCGGAGAAGCCCAUUUGUGGGCCACAGGAAUGUGGGCCCAGGUACCCUAGAGAUGCCAGGAGGGGGCUUGCUUCCAGCCCUGCUCCCUUCUAUAGCCCCUCCCCCAGAUGAGUUUACUGGCACUUUAUGUCAGAUUCAUAAAUGCAAGUAUGUGUGCGUGGAUGUGCUUAGAAAGGCCAAGUGACUGAAAAAUACUAUUACACAUAUAGAAAAAAUAAACUGGAAAACACUGUAUGAGAAAAAAAAAACUUGUGAGAAAAGGCAAUAAAAAUGGUAUUUUAACCACAGCUUUUU
rnacentral:lncRNA from 1 species